rnacentral:rRNA from 1 species
CUACGGGCCGCACCAGUGAGGAAUAUUGCACAAUGGGGGGAACCCUGAUGCAGCAACGCCGCGUGGAGGAUGACGCAUUUCGGUGUGUAAACUCCUUUUAUAUGUCAAGAAAAUGACGGUAGCAUAUGAAUAAGCACCGGCUAACUCCGUGCCAGCAGCCGCGGUAAUACGGAGGGUGCAAGCGUUACUCGGAAUCACUGGGCGUAAAGGACGCGUAGGCGGGUUGGAAAGUCAGGUGUGAAAGCCUACAGCUUAACUGUAGGACUGCACUUGAAACUUCUAAUCUAGAGUAUGGGAGGGGGAGAUGGAAUUAGUGGUGUAGGGGUAAAAUCCGUAGAUAUCACUAGGAAUACCUAAAGCGAAGGCGAUCUCCUGGAACAUUACUGACGCUAAGGCGUGAAAGCGUGGGGAGCAAACAGGAUUAGAUACCCCAGUAGUC